rnacentral:rRNA from 1 species
GUACACGCUGUGACUAGCAUAUCAAUAAGCGGAGGAAAAGAAACUAACAAGGAUUCCCUUAGUAACGGCGAGUGAAGCGGGAAGAGCUCAAAUUUGAAAUCUUCAAGGUUUUACCUUGACGAAUUGUAGUUUAAAGAAGUGUUUUCUGCUGAAGUUUUGGUAAAAGUUCUUUGGAAUAGGACAUCAUAGAGGGUGAGAAUCCCGUCUAUGAUUGCGAUUUGUAGCUUUGUGAUACACUUUCAAAGAGUCGGGUUGUUUGGGAAUGCAGCCCAAAACGGGAGGUAAAUUUCUUCUAAGGCUAAAUAUUGGCGAGAGACCGAUAGCGAACAAGUACCGUGAGGGAAAGAUGAAAAGAACUUUGAAAAGAGAGUUAAAUAGUACGUGAAAUUGUCAAAAGGGAAGCGUUUAACUCCAGUGUUGUUUUCUGAAAAUCAACCUCUGUUAGCUUUAUGCAUGUUUGUUUAGACCUAAUCAGCUAUCUUUCAUGUUCUAUUGUUUGCAGUGGUGCACUUUUCAGUUUACAGGUCAACAUCAGUUUUUUUUACCGUAAAAAAGUUAAAGAAAGGUAGCUCAUGGCUCCGGUCGUGAGUGUUAUAGUCUUUUUCCUAUGCGGUAGGAGAGGACUGAGGUCUGCAGUGUAGGCUAUUUGGCUAGAUACUCAGGUGCUAUGUGAUACCAUUUCAUAAACAACUUGUUGAUUAUGUUUUGUCUAUUGCAUACUCGCUUGUACUAUCAUACCUACGCUUAGGAUGUUGAGUAGCGACAUACGCAC